CACUCACUCCCCACAAGGUAGAGACCCCCAGGGCAUCUUUGGAAGAGGAGUAACCUUGGCAUAAAGAAAGGAAAUUUGGGAGUGAAGGGGAAGGAAGUCAGCAGAGACCACCAGAGAAGGCAGGAUUGAUGGCCCCCCAAAAAACCAACCGAACAAAAAACAGACUCAAACCCAGCACCCAACUUUGAAGAGAUUUUUAAAAGCCUACCUGCUCAAGAGUUAAAGGACUUUUGUGCGACUCACUCCAGGAUAGAAAGAAAAAAAGAAAAAGAAAAGAAAAAAAGAAAAGAAAACCUUCUCUGCUCACUCACCAAGAUACAUUUAUAAGCAGUGAUGAGUACACAGUAGAGAACCAGAAAAAGGAAGAGUGGUUAAGAUUAAGUGGAGAUCAGUGGCCAAGUG